rnacentral:rRNA from 1 species
UGGGGAAUAUUGGACAAUGGGGGCAACCCUGAUCCAGCCAUGCCGCGUGAGUGAUGAAGGCCUUCGGGUUGUAAAGCCCUUUUGGCGGGGACGAUGAUGACGGUACCCGCAGAAUAAGCCCCGGCUAACUUCGUGCCAGCAGCCGCGGUAAGACGAAGGGGGCUAGCGUUGUUCGGAAUUACUGGGCGUAAAGCGAGUGUAGGCGGUUGCCGUAGUCAGGUGUGAAAGCCUUGAGCUCAACUCAAGAAAUGCACUUGAUACUGGGUGACUAGAGGACCGGAGAGGAUAGUGGAAUUCCCAGUGUAGUGGUGAAAUACGUAGAGAUUGGGAAGAACACCAGUGGCGAAGGCGGCUAUCUGGACGGUUACUGACGCUAAGACUCGAAAGCGUGGGGAGCAAAACAGGAUUAGAUACCCUGGUAGUCCACGCCGUAAAACGAUGGGUGCUAGACGUUGGCGAGCUUGCUCGUCAGUGUCGCAGCU